rnacentral:rRNA from 1 species
ACGGAGGAUGCAAGCGUUAUCCGGAAUGAUUGGGCGUAAAGCGUCUGUAGGUGGUUUAUUAAGUCUACUGUUAAAGAUCAGGGCUUAACCCUGAGUCGGCAGUAGAAACUAAUGAGCUUGAGUACGGUAGGGGCAGAGGGAAUUCCCGGUGUAGCGGUGAAAUGCGUAGAGAUCGGGAAGAACACCAAUGGCGAAAGCACUCUGCUGGGCCGAAACUGACACUCAGAGACGAAAGCUAGGGGAGCGAAUGGGAUUAGAUACCCCAGUAGUCCUAGCCGUAAACGAUGGAUACUAAGUGCUGUGCGACUCAAAACGUCCAGUACUGUAGCUAACGCGUGAAGUAUCCCGCCUGGGGAGUAUGCUCGCAAGAGUG